AUUAUUUUGGCAGAUUUAGUGCGUUAAAUUUAGGGUUUAAUUAAAUAUAAAGUUUAUAUAGAUAAUA
rnacentral:tRNA from 1 species